AUAAUAUGCUAGGGGUGCUUAUUGCUGAGAAGGUAGAACCUAACCCUAAGAACCUGAUAUGGUUAAUACCAGCGGAGGGAAGCUUUGAUAAUUAUGA
rfam:Clostridium sp. CAG:221 genomic scaffold, scf45